rnacentral:rRNA from 1 species
GACGUAGGGCGCGAGCGUUGUCCGGAUUUAUUGGGCGUAAAGAGCGUGUAGGCGGUCCGGUAAGUCAGCUGUGAAAGUCAAGGGCUCAACCCUUGAAAGCCGGUUGAUACUGUGCGACUAGAGUGCAGAAGGGGCAACUGGAAUUCUCGGUGUAGCGGUGAAAUGCGUAGAUAUCGAGAGGAACACCUGCGGCGAAGGCGGGUUGCUGGGCUGACACUGACGCUGAGGCGCGAAAGCCAGGGGAGCGAACGGG